UCGCAGUCUGAUGGAGAGAGAGGACACAGGUGUUAGUCUGUGAAGAGGAGAAUGAGGAGGGGAGGAGAGGAAUGUGGGAAAGCCACAGGAUGAGACACUGGAAAGUCAUGGAUGAGGAGAUGGGGAUGUGAAUUUUAUACCUUAAGGACCCUAUAUAGACUAUAAACUUUACUAGCAACUUCACGGUAUGACAUUUUCAUUUGCCUGCAAGCACCGCCGGGCUCAUCAUGAGGCACUUACGCAAACAAAAACGGAUGGAGGAACGAGGAGGACAAUCGGUGCCCGGAGAGUCACCCCAGGCUGGCCGAGAUUGGUCAUUAUCACCACUGCCCGACUGACUUAUUACCUCCAUUUUGAAGCAGAUUGAGGAACAGUACAGAAAGCGAACUGCACAUUUCGCCCCCAUGAGCCGAAAUGAAUGAGACGGUCUGACAGCUAAUGAAUGAUCUCAUCUGACCUGUCCUGAAGUUCGACACCGACAAGAUCUGCCAAUGUCUCUCGCCUUCUCCUAUAGUCUCACACCCUACAUUCACCAGGUACAAAAAAAAAUGCAAUGAAGAAUCAAGAGAUGCCAUUACAUCUAUCUACCUGAUGCCCAAAGAUUUGACUUCUUCUGGUGGACACCACUGUGACAGACUGACAUUUUCCUAAUGGGACCGAUGGAGGAGGUGAACAAGGGUCAGGGUGAAUAAAUGGUUUUGCUUGCAUCACACACACAGACCUAUAGUGGAUCUGUCUGUCCAUGAUCAAC